rnacentral:rRNA from 1 species
UACGUACCGUCCAAACGUUAUUCGGAAUUACUGGGCUUAAAGGGUUUGUAGGCGGCGCUGUUAGUCGGGUGUGAAAUCCCAGGGCUCAACCCUGGAACUGCGCCCGAUACUGCAGUGCUUGAGGGAGACAGAGGUAAGCGGAACUGAUGGUGGAGCGGUGAAAUGCGUUGAUAUCAUCAGGAACACCGGUGGCGAAAGCGGCUUACUGGGUCUCUUCUGACGCUGAGAAACG